rfam:Triticum aestivum genome assembly, contig: Triticum_aestivum_CS42_TGACv1_scaffold_569317_7AS
AGUGUACUCCCUUCGUCCGAAAUACUUGUUUAAAAAUGAAUGUAUUUAGAUGUAUUUAGUUCUAGAUAUAUCCAUUUGUAUCCAUUUCCACGACAAGUAUUUUCGGACGGAUGGAGUAUUUC